rnacentral:rRNA from 1 species
GAUGGACGCUGGCGGCGUGCCUAAUACAUGCAAGUCGAGCGAACAGAUAAGGAGCUUGCUCCUUUGACGUUAGCGGCGGACGGGUGAGUAACACGUGGGUAACCUACCUAUAAGACUGGGAUAACUUCGGGAAACCGGAGCUAAUACCGGAUAACAUUUGGAACCGCAUGGUUCUAAAGUGAAAGAUGGUUUUGCUAUCACUUAUAGAUGGACCCGCGCCGUAUUAGCUAGUUGGUAAGGUAACGGCUUACCAAGGCGACGAUACGUAGCCGACCUGAGAGGGUGAUCGGCCACACUGGAACUGAGACACGGUCCAGACUCCUACGGGAGGCAGCAGUAGGGAAUCUUCCGCAAAGGGCGAAAGCCUGACGGAGCAACGCCGCGUGAGUGAUGAAGGGUUUCGGCUCGUAAAACUCUGUUAUUAGGGAAGAACAAAUGUGUAAGUAACUGUGCACGUCUUGACGGUACCUAAUCAGAAAGCCACGGCUAACUACGUG